GCCGUGAUCGUAUAGUGGUUAGUAGAUUGCGUUGAGGCAGCAGUAACCCAGGUUCGAUUCCUGGUCACGGCA
rfam:Nematostella vectensis strain CH2 x CH6 NEMVEscaffold_336_Cont24219, whole genome shotgun sequence.